rnacentral:tRNA from 1 species
CGGGAAGUAGCUCAGCUUGGUAGAGCACUUGGUUUGGGACCAAGGGAUCACAGGUUCGAAUCCUGUCUUCCCGA